GACGAACGCUGGCGGCGUGCUUAACACAUGCAAGUCGAACGGUGAAAGCGGAGCUUGCUCCGCUGGAUCAGUGGCGAACGGGUGAGUAACACGUGGGCAACCUGCCCCUCACUUCGGGAUAACUCCGGGAAACCGGGGCUAAUACCGGAUAUGACCUCCUUGGGCAUCCUUGGAGGUGGAAAGUUUUUCGGUGAGGGAUGGGCCCGCGGCCUAUCAGCUUGUUGGUGAGGUAGUGGCUCACCAAGGCGACGACGGGUAGCCGGCCUGCGAGGGCGACCGGCCACACUGGGACUGAGACACGGCCCAGACUCCUACGGGAGGCAGCAGUGGGGAAUAUUGCGCAAUGGGCGAAAGCCUGACGCAGCAACGCCGCGUGCGGGAUGACGGCCUUCGGGUUGUAAACCUCUUUCAGCACCGACGAAGCGCAAGUGACGGUAGGUGCAGAAGAAGGACCGGCCAACUACGUGCCAGCCGCCGCAGUAA
rnacentral:rRNA from 1 species